ensembl:snoRNA
GGCCUAUUAGUGCUAACCACAGGCUAUGUUCUUACACUGAUUAUAUAUAGAAAAAGGAGGCAGAGUAAACCUCAGCCCGGGCCCUGUGCCUGGUUUAUAUUGCAAAUGGGGAGACAUGA